UCCCGUUAAGCCAUGCCUCUGUCUUCAUUCUUCUCCUUCCAUCUUUCUUUUUAUUUUUCUUUCCUUGUUUCAAGAAAAACACAGACCAAGUGUUGCUAAACAACUAAAACACAAAAUACAAAUUCUCAUUUUUCUUCUGAUCUAAGCUUCCAUUCCAGAAGUGACAGAAGAGAAAGUUGCUCAUUGUCACGUUGUGGUGCUAGUGAGCUAGUUUUCGAAGCGACGUCACGAAUUUAAAUUUUACCGAAAUUAAUUACGGUACCGUAAUCGAGUGUUAGAGCUAUCGUUAAGGCUUUGCCCUCAGAUGAGAAACAGGAUCAUCCUACCGGUUAAUACCCUGGAGAUGGAAAAGUAGUUAGUCAUACCUGACCGAAGCUAUGUCAGAAGGAUCUUGCAGGGCGCGUGGAGAUCACCCAGGUUGUAUAGCUUUUUGUAGCAUGAUCAGAUUAGAGGGUUGUAUAGGGUUUAGUUGUCUUUCUUUUGUGGAUGUAUUUAUUUCAAUUUGAAAGACUGUACUUAUACCUCAUAUUGUCAGCUCGACUUUUAUUUUGAUAGGUCAUUGUACCAUUUUUUUGAUGCGACGUGGAGAAGUUAAAAUUCUUGGGGCAAUGUUUUGUACAGGUGUCUGCCGAGAACACUCCAGGGGUAUGAGCUAUGUCUGAUAGGUCUCAUAGCCCCUGUGUAUUUUGUCGUGUAAAUACUUUGAGUUUGUAUUUCAAAAACUAUUUCCGCUGCUUGUAAAUAUUGUUGGCUUUUGUCGUUA